rnacentral:rRNA from 1 species
CAGCUCUCCGAGUGGUAGGGAUGAUUAUUGGGCCUGAAGCGUCCGUAGCUGGCCUUUCAAGUCUCUUGUUAAAUCCAGCGAUUCAAUCGUUGGACUGCAGGAGAUACUGCAAGGCUAGGAGGCGAGAGAAGCCGACGGUAUUCUCGGGGUAGGGGUAAAAUCCUAUAAUCCCGGGAAGACCACCAGUGGCGAAGGCGGUCGGCUAGCGCGCGCUCGACGGUGAGGGACGAAAGCUGGGGGAGCGAACCGGAUUAGAUACCCGGGUAGUCCCAGCUGUAAACGAUGCGGGCUAGGUGUUGAAGCGGCCACGAGCCGCUUCAGUGCCGCAGGGAAGCCAUUAAGCCCGCCGCCUGGGGAGUACGGCCGCAAGGCUG